rnacentral:tRNA from 1 species
CCAUCGGUAGCACAGUGGUUAGUGUAAUCUGCCGGAAACAGAAGGACGCGGGUUCGAUUCCCCUCCGAUGUU